GUGACAGGCACUGCCUGGCACACGGGCAGGGAGCUGUGUGCAGGCUGUGGACCACAGAGGAGGCACAGGUUUCCCUUUGCAGGACUGAAGGACCACCUGGUUAUCACCGUGUGCUACCAGAGAAGACCCCCAGUGCUCUCCAGAAGGCCUCUCUGUCUGCUCUCCUGGGGCCGUUUCUAAUAAAGCCAACUACAGAAAAACAGAUUCAGCUUCCUCCAGAUGCAUGGAGACAAGAAGUAGAAGUUUUGCCAGUUCUCUGCAUCCUCCUCUGACUCUGCCCCAGUGAGCCCUUCCUGCUGGCACUUCAGGAUCCACAGUGCAGCUCCAUCGACCAGGUUCUUCCACUGGCAGCAGACCAGGCGACACACAAGCACCAGAUCCACUGCAGGUAUGGCAGCCAGGAUUCGGAUCAGGACUGCUUCAGGGAGGGACUCCAUCCCUGGGCUCAGCAGCGUCAGACA